CCUACGGGAGGCAGCAGUAGGGAAUAUUGCUCAAUGGGGGAAACCCUGAAGCAGCAACGCCGCGUGGAGGAUGAAGGUUUUCGGAUUGUAAACUCCUUUUGUUAGAGAAGAUAAUGACGGUAUCUAACGAAUAAGCACCGGCUAACUCCGUGCCAGCAGCCGCGGUAAUACGGAGGGUGCAAGCGUUACUCGGAAUCACUGGGCGUAAAGAGCGCGUAGGCGGGAUAGCAAGUCAGAUGUGAAAUCCUAUGGCUUAACCAUAGAACUGCAUUUGAAACUGUUAUUCUAGAGAAUGGGAGAGGUAGGUGGAAUUCUUGGUGUAGGGGUAAAAUCCGUAGAGAUCAAGAGGAAUACUCAUUGCGAAGGCGACCUGCUAGAACAUAUCUGACGCUGAAGCACGAAAGCGUGGGUAUCGAACAGGAUUAGAUACCCUUGUAGUC
rnacentral:rRNA from 1 species